AAUGAAAGUAAAGAGUUGAGUUUAUAAUUGAGAAUUUAUUCUCUAUUAUUUCUCUCUUUUGGGAAGAUGAAAAUUUAAUUUAUAAUCUAUUUUAGAUUAUUUAUUUAAAUUUUUCGCAUUCCCAGGGCGCUUGUUUCACGCUUUGCGUGUCGAUGCGCACCCAGAGCGUACACGCUGAUACCCGAAAGAUGGUGAACUAUGCCUGGCCAGGACGAAGCCAGGGGAAACCCUGGUGGAGGUCCGCAGCGAUUCUGACGUGCAAAUCGAUCGUCGGAGCUGGGUAUAGGGGCGAAAGACCAAUCGAACCAUCUAGUAGCUGGUUCCCUCUGAAGUUUCCCUCAGGAUAGCUUGCGCUCGUCUUAUGAGUCUCAUCCGGUAGAGCGAAUGAUUAGAGGCAUUGGGGUCGAAACGACCUCAACCUAUUCUCAAACUCCAAAUAGAUGAGACCCCCGGCUUUCUUAAAAU
rnacentral:rRNA from 1 species